rnacentral:misc_RNA from 1 species
GAUGAAGAACGUAGCGAAAUGCGAUAAGUAGUGUGAAUUGCAGAAUUCAGUGAAUCAUCGAAUCUUUGAACGCACAUUGCGCCCCUUGGUAUUCCAUGGGGCAUGCCUGUUCGAGCGUCAUUUGUACCUUCAAGCUUUGCUUGGUGUUGGGUGUUUGUCUCGCCUUUGCGUGUAGACUCGCCUUAAAAUAAUUGGCAGCCGGCGUAUUGAUUUCGGAGCGCAGUACAUAUCGCGCUUUGCACUCAUAACGACAGCGUCCAAAAGUACAUUUUACACUCUUGACCUCGGAUCAGGUAGGGAUACCCGCUGAACUUAAGCAUAUCAAUAAGCGGAGGA